GACGAACGCUGGCGGCGUGCUUAACACAUGCAAGUCGAACGGAAAGGCCCUGCUUUUGUGGGGUGCUCGAGUGGCGAACGGGUGAGUAACACGUGAGUAACCUGCCCUUGACUUUGGGAUAACUUCAGGAAACUGGGGCUAAUACCGGGUAGGAGCUCCUGCUGCAUGGUGGGGGUUGGAAAGUUUCGGCGGUUGGGGAUGGACUCGCGGCUUAUCAGCUUGUUGGUGGGGUAGUGGCUUACCAAGGCUUUGACGGGUAGCCGGCCUGAGAGGGUGACCGGCCACAUUGGGACUGAGAUACGGCCCAGACUCCUACGGGAGGCAGCAGUGGGGAAUAUUGCAGAAUGGGCGGAAGCCUGAUGCAGCAACGCCGCGUGCGGGAUGACGGCCUUCGGGUUGUAAACCGCUUUCGCCUGUGACGAAGCGUGAGUGACGGUAAUGGGUAAAGAAGCACCGGCUAACUACGUG
rnacentral:rRNA from 1 species